CCCUACGGGGCGCAGCAGGCGAACAUGGUAUAGACUUGGCAUCUUCCUUUAUGGUAGGCGAUAGGGCGAGUGAUAUCGAAGCAGGUAAUAGGGCAGGAUGCCGGACCAUAUUUAUUAAGCAUGAGAAAGUAACAGACUCAUGCGAAGAGCUGGCAGAUUACACGGCCGCCAACUGGCUCGAAAUAACUGACUAUGUGCUGCACAAUACCGUAGAGACGGUUUUGCAUGAUGUUGCACAGUGACAUAACAUACUCAUAAUGAUGAAGGUAAAAAGCCUAUUAUUUGAUCGCAGCAAAUUGGAGCUGGAGCCUUUAAGGCAGAGAACCCACGACCUUGAUGCAGGCGUAAUAAGACAACUCGACAGUGUUGAGCAGCGGCCGAAGGGUAUAGAGGAGGUUGCUGCCCGUAUUGUGGAGGCUAAGAGAUCGGGGAGGGC
rnacentral:rRNA from 1 species